CCUACGGGGGGCAGCAGUGGGGAAUAUUGGACAAUGGGGGGAACCCUGAUCCAGCCAUGCCGCGUGUGUGAAGAAGGCCCUCGGGUUGUAAAGCACUUUCAGUGAGGAAGAACGCCUGGUGGUUAAUACCCAUCAGGAAAGACAUCACUCACAGAAGAAGCACCGGCUAACUCCGUGCCAGCAGCCGCGGUAAUACGGAGGGUGCGAGCGUUAAUCGGAAUUACUGGGCGUAAAGCGCGCGUAGGUGGCUUGAUAAGCCGGUUGUGAAAGCCCCGGGCUCAACCUGGGAACGGCAUCCGGAACUGUCAAGCUAGAGUGCAGGAGAGGAAGGUAGAAUUCCCGGUGUAGCGGUGUAAUGCGUAGAGAUCGGGAGGAAUACCAGUGGCGAAGGCGGCCUUCUGGACUGACACUGACACUGAGGUGCGAAAGCGUGGGUAGCAAACAGGAUUAGAUACCCCUGUAGUC
rnacentral:rRNA from 1 species